rnacentral:rRNA from 1 species
UUAGCUGCAGAAUAAGCACCGGCUAACUCUGUGCCAGCAGCCGCGGUAAUACAGAGGGUGCAAGCGUUAAGCGGAAUUACUGGGCGUAAAGCGAGCGUAGGUGGCUUGAUAAGUCAGAUGUGAAAGCCCCGGGCUUAACCUGGGAACGGCAUCUGAUACUGUUAGGCUAGAGUAGGUGAGAGGAAGGUAGAAUUCCAGGUGUAGCGGUGAAAUGCGUAGAGAUCUGGAGGAAUACCGAUGGCGAAGGCAGCCUUCUGGCAUCAUACUGACACUGAGGUUCGAAAGCGUGGGUAGCAAACAGGAUUAGAUACCCUGGUAGUCCACGCCGUAAACGAUGUCUACUAGUCGUUGGGUCCCUUGAGGACUUAGUGACGCAGCUAACGCAAUAAGUAGACCGCCUGGGGAGUACGGCCGCAAGGUUAAAACUCAAAUGAAUUGACGGGGGCCCGCACAAGCGGUGGAGCAUGUGGUUUAAUUCGAUGCAACGCGAAGAACCUUACCUGGUCUUGACAUAUCUAGAAUCCUGCAGAGAUGCGGGAGUGCCUUCGGGAAUUAGAAUACAGGUGCUGCAUGGCUGUCGUCAGCUCGUGUCGUGAGAUGUUGGGUUAAGUCCCGCAACGAGCGCAACCCUUGUCCUUAGUUACCAGCGGUUUGGCCGGGAUCUCUAAGGAUACUGCCAGUGACAAACUGGAGGAAGGCGGGGACGACGUCAAGUCAUCAUGGCCCUUACGACCAGGGCUACACACGUGCUACAAUGGUAGGUACAGAGGGCAGCUACACAGCGAUGUGAUGCGAAUCUCAAAAAGCCUAUCGUAGUCCAGAUUGGAGUCUGCAACUCGACUCCAUGAAGUAGGAAUCGCUAGUAAUCGCGGAUCAGAAU